UGGCUACCACAUCCAAGGAUGGCAGCAGGCGCGCAAAUUACCCACUCUCAGUACGAGGAGGUAGUGACGAAAAAUAACAAUGCGGGACUCAUCAGAGGCCUCGCAAUUGGAAUGAGCGCACUUUAAAUCGUUCGACGAGGAUCUAUUGGAGGGCAAGUCUGGUGCCAGCAGCCGCGGUAAUUCCAGCUCCAAUAGCGUAUAUUAAAGUUGUUGCAGUUAAAAAGCUCGUAGUUGGAUCUGGGGUUCGGGUCGGCGGUUUGCCGCUUCGGCGGCUACUGCCGUGCUCGACUCUUACUAGCCGGUGCGUCUUGCGGUGCUCUUCAUCGAGUGCCGUAGGAGCCUGGCAUGUUUACUUUGAAAAAAUUAGAGUGCUCAAAGCAGGCGAUUCCGCCUGAAUAGUGUUGCAUGGAAUAAUGGAAUAGGACCUCGGUUCUAUUUUGUUGGUUUUCGGAACUUGAGGUAAUGAUUAAGAGGGACGGUCGGGGGCAUUCGUAUUUCGGUGUUAGAGGUGAAAUUCUUGGAUCGCUGAAAGACGGACAAAUGCGAAAGCAUCUGCCAAGAACGUCUCCAUUAAUCAAGAACGAAAGUCAGAGGUUCGAAGACGAUCAGACACCGUCCUAGUUCUGACCAUAAACGAUGCCAACUAGCGAUCCGCAGUGGUUGCUAUAAACGGACUCUGCGAGCAGCUUCCGGGAAACCAAAGUGUUUGGGUUCCGGGGGAAGUAUGGUUGCAAAGCUGAAACUUAAAGGAAUUGACGGAAGGGCACCACCAGGAGUGGAGCCUGCGGCUUAAUUUGACCCAACACGGGGAAACUCACCCGGUCCGGACACUGUAAGGAUUGACAGAUCGAGAGCUCUUUCUUGAUUCGGUGGAUGGUGGUGCAUGGCCGUUCUUAGUUGGUGGAGUGAUUUGUCUGGUUAAUUCCGAUAACGAACGAGACUCUAGCCUGCUAACUAGUUGCGCCGUGUUCAUACGCGGCUGUAGACUUCUUAGAGGGACAGGUGGCGUUUAGCCACACGAAAUUGAGCAAUAACAGGCCUGUGAUGCCCUUAGAUGUCCGGGGCCGCACGCGCGCUACACUGAAGGAGUCAGCGUGUGCUAUCCGGGCUCGGAAGAGUUCGGUAACCCGUUGAAACUCCUUCGUGCUUGGGAUUGUGGCUUGUAAUUAUCGCGCAUGAACGAGGAAUUCCCAGUAAGUGCAAGUCAUCAGCUUGCGCUGACUACGUCCCUGCCCUUUGUACACACCGCCCGUCGCUACUACCGAUUGAAUGGUUUAGCAAGGUACUCGGAUUGGUCUCGAUCUUGUACGAAAGUGCGGGAUCUGUGGCCGAGAAGAAGGCCAAACUUGAUCAUUUAGAGGAAGUAAAAGUCGUAACAAGGUU
rnacentral:rRNA from 1 species